rnacentral:rRNA from 1 species
CACGUAGGAGGCGAGCGUUAUCCGGAUUUACUGGGCGUAAAGCGCGUGCAGGCGGUUUAGAAAGUUGGAUGUGAAAGCUCCUGGCUUAACUGGGAGAGGUCGUUCAAUACUUCUAGACUAGAGUUUGGGAGAGGGAGGUGGAAUUCCGGGUGUAGUGGUGAAAUGCGUAGAUAUCCGGAGGAACACCAGUGGCGAAAGCGGCCUCCUGGCCCAUUACUGACGCUCAGACGCGAAAGCUAGGGUAGCAAACGGG